UACGUAGGUGGCAAGCGUUGUCCGGAUUUAUUGGGUUUAAAGGGUGCGUAGGCGGUUCCUUAAGUCAGUGGUGAAAUACGGCAGCUCAACUGUCGAGGUGCCAUUGAUACUGGGGAACUUGAGUACUGAUGAGGUAGGCGGAAUGGACGGUGUAGCGGUGAAAUGCUUAGAUAUCGUCCAGAACACCGAUAGCGAAGGCAGCUUACUAAGGAGUAACUGACGCUGAGGCACGAAAGUGUGGGGAUCAAACAGG
rnacentral:rRNA from 1 species